rnacentral:lncRNA from 1 species
GCAGUGUCAGGCCUUUAAAUUUAGCUCCUGCACAAGUGUUGUUUGGCCUGCGGUUAGUUUCUGCAAUUCGGCCAGUACAGUGCCUAGGCUGGCAGGACCAGGGUUAGUCUCGACGUCACCAGAUAUGAUUAGCAGCAGACGGAUAACAUAAAUGCAUUCAGUGGCAAUCACGUCACAGCACCGUGGGCUCGGGAGCUGUACCAGAAGAUAAUUGCUUUAUUUUUUUGCAAGAAGUGCAUAUGUUUGACUAACCUGCAUGGCGAGCAAAGCGGUUAGUGAACUGCACCAAGGUAUAGUCACCGGGCCCACAGAGCUGCAUCGACGGUGGUUGUUGCUUUAUAGCUGGUAGGGUUGUCGAUGGCGAUGAUUCUUUCCAAGAUGGCUGCAGAACCGGUAGGUCGUAUUCAAAUGGUGAGGCAGAUCGAAAUGGUGAUAUGUUGAAACCAGGCAAAGGAUGGCACGUGGCCGCCCCAUCUUCGUGACAAGGGGAAGCCUGCACUAACGAGGCAUCCGAGGAUGCGCAUGCCAGAACAGGAAGCAGCAGGUUGCAGAUGAGAUAGACGACCAUCUGCAUGGCGAGAGCAAAGCGGUUAGCGAACUGCACCAAGGUACAGUCGCCGGGCCCACCUGUGUUAAACAUGUGUUAAACAUAGUAGUUUAUGCCUAGUCUGCAAGUGAGUUUUACUAUAAUUUGCUGAUACGUUGUUAGUAGAUAUGGACGUAUAAAAAAAAGCGGGAGAAGAAAGUGAGGGGAGGGCAACCGUCCCACAAAUAAAUGGUUGUUGGAAGUUAGCGCCUGUGUGUGUAUGCUUUCUCUUCUAAGUCAUUGUGCUAUUUGUGCUACAGGAAAAAACAGCAAAAUGUUACACCAACAAGCCCAAAUGUCUACACUGAUGGAACACAUGCUUUGGCGCUGCUUGGCGUUGGCCGGUGAUGGUUCUCAAGGUGAACAGUGGCGGCAGCGGAUGCUACGCAGUGAAGAGCUGGCGGACUAAUUCAGGCCUGUCCAGAGGGCCCGUGUCAUGGCAGAGGGGCUUGGACUCUCUGUACCGACGUGGGAGCGGCUCGCAUCAGUCCCAGACUGAUUCCUCAGGACCUAAAUAAAGUUCUUCGUACCAUACCA